rnacentral:tRNA from 1 species
GUCCCGUUCGUCUAGCGGUCAGGAUGCUUGGUUCUCAGCCAGGUGGCAGGGGUUCGACUCCCCUACGGGAUG